GAGGGUAUAGCUCAGUGGUAGAGUGCCUGCCUAGCAUGCACAAGGUCCUGGGUUCAAUUCCCAGCACCUGUG
rnacentral:tRNA from 1 species